UUUUUGGUAAAAUAGCUUUAUCCUCUGUCAGAACACAAACCAACAAACUUUGAGAGGGGAGGGAGGAAACAGUCUAGCUCACGGCUCACUUAGGAGGGGGGAUGAGAUUAGAAAGUUUCAACCCACUGCUUGUGCAGCUGAGAUAAAGUCAAGACCCUAGCACCCACUUAUAAAUAUCUCGUUAUAUUAAAAAAGAAUAUUCCCAGGGCCCACCUGGCUCCGCUCCUGCACAGAAAGGAUUCAUCUUCACUUUGUGACCUCACAGGUGAGGGUCAUGUGUUCCAGGCUCUCAUACUGGCUGCUCACUCCGUAGAAGCC
rnacentral:sRNA from 1 species